rnacentral:rRNA from 1 species
AACAGGGGAGCUUGCUCCCGCUGACGAGUGGCGAACGGGUGAGUAAUGCAUCGGAACGUGCCGAAUAGUGGGGGAUAACGCACCGAAAGGUGUGCUAAUACCGCAUACGCCCUGAGGGGGAAAGUGGGGGACCGCAAGGCCUCACGCUAAUCGAGCGGCCGAUGUCGGAUUAGCUAGUUGGUGGGGUAAAGGCUCACCAAGGCGACGAUCCGUAGCGGGUCUGAGAGGAUGAUCCGCCACACUGGGACUGAGACACGGCCCAGACUCCUACGGGAGGCAGCAGUGGGGAAUUUUGGACAAUGGGGGAAACCCUGAUCCAGCCAUGCCGCGUGUCUGAAGAAGGCCUUCGGGUUGUAAAGGACUUUUGUCCGGGAGGAAACCCUGAUCGUUAAUAGCGGUCGGGACUGACAGUACCGGAAGAAUAAGCACCGGCUAACUACGUGCCAGCAGCCGCGGUAAUACGUAGGGUGCAAGCGUUAAUCGGAAUUACUGGGCGUAAAGCGUGCGCAGGCGGUGAGAUAAGUCAGCUGUGAAAGCCCCGGGCUCAACCUGGGAACUGCGGCCGAAACUGUCUCGCUAGAGUACGUCAGAGGGGGGUGGAAUUCCACGUGUAGCAGUGAAAUGCGUAGAGAUGUGGAGGAACAUCAAUGGCGAAGGCAGCCCCCUGGGAUGAUACUGACGCUCAUGCACGA